ACCUUCAAUCUCUCUCGAUCUCUCUCUGGAUCCCCAAUCUCACCUCCAUGUUUUGUUUGUUGAUUCCCAUCUUCUCUUUUGUCUUUUCACCAAAUCGUCAUUUAAGGCUUCAAGAACAGUAACCCCAAUUCCUCCACAAGAGGGAGAGAAAACAAAAGAUCUUCCAAUUCCAUUCUCGUACAUGCAAAUCACAAUCCAUGCCAUAGAUUGUUUCUAUUCCUCCUUAUUUAUUGCUUGUAUCUGUUCAUGCAUGGACCAGGUGGAGAGAGCAUUACUUAAAAAUAGAAUUAGCUAUCUGUUUUAGGCGAAUUAGUUUCCUUACAUAACCAUGUAUAUGUCAUGACGC
rnacentral:misc_RNA from 1 species